rnacentral:hammerhead_ribozyme from 1 species
AGCUGAGGAGUUCCAAAUAGGACGAAACGUGCGUCCU